rnacentral:tRNA from 1 species
AGAGUGAUGGGUGCCUGGUGGUCCCCGCGGUCUUCAAAACCGCUGUCGGUCCGUUUCGCGGACCGGGGUAGGUUCGAUUCCUUCCCUCUC